CCCUGUGCUUUGGCUGAAUUCAGCAAGGCCGGUCCCCGGAAACUGGACUUCUACUUCCGGGUCAGAGCCAUGGCGGUGGCAAAUUCAAGUCCAGUCAAUCCGGUGGUCUUCUUUGAUGUCAGCAUCGGCGGCCAGGAGGUUGGUCGCAUGAAGAUCGAGCUGUUUGCAGACGUGGUGCCUAAGACGGCAGAGAACUUCAGGCAAUUCUGCACUGGAGAGUUCAGAAAAGAUGGUGUUCCAAUAGGAUACAAAGGAAGCACCUUCCAUAGGGUCAUAAAGGAUUUCAUGAUUCAGGGUGGAGAUUUUGUUAAUGGAGAUGGUACUGGAGUUGCUAGCAUUUACCGAGGCCCAUUUGCAGAUGAAAAUUUCAAACUUAGACACUCAGCUCCAGGCCUGCUUUCCAUGGCAAACAGUGGUCCCAGUACAAACGGCUGCCAGUUCUUUAUCACAUGUUCUAAGUGUGAUUGGCUGGAUGGGAAGCAUGUAGUGUUUGGAAAAAUCAUUGAUGGACUUCUGGUGAUGAGGAAAAUCGAGGUUGGUCCUGCUUGGGUGUCCUCGUGGUAGCCUUUUUGGUCAGGAUCCUUGGUGACCUGUACUCUGCCUACCCCUCCAUGACCCCUUCUGCCACUGCCUUCUCUGUCCAGUGGCAUCAAGCUCCUGGCUUUUCUCUAAGGAGAUUGGCCAUACAGAAUGUUCCCACAGGCCCUAACAAUAAACCCAAAUUGCCGGUGGUAAUCUCACAGUGUGGGGAAAUGUAAUCUAGACCAAGACUGAACCAGGUCUUCUGCUGUUCUAGGUGACAUUCUCCCUUGAGUCUGACAAGCUGGACUAACCUGUGUUUGGGUCCCUGCCUGUGAUCCAGGACCUGGAAGUAUCACAGAUCAGAACAAAGAUCUUGUUUAAAUUUUGAACUGUAAAUAAAGGAUUUUUUUUUUUAAUUCA